rnacentral:rRNA from 1 species
GACGAACGCUGGCGGCGUGCUUAACACAUGCAAGUCGAACGGAGUGGCGAACGGGGGAGUAACAAGUGGGUGACAUGCCCUGCACUUUGGGAUAAGACGGGGAAACUGGGUCUAAUACCGGAUAGUGUGGGAUGGGCCCGCGGCCUAUCAGCUUGUUGGUGGGGUAAUGGCCUACCAAGGCGGCGACGGGUUGCCGGCCUGAGAGGGUGGAAGGCCCCAUUGGGACUGAGACACGGCCCAGACUCCUGCGGGAGGCAGCAGUGGGGAGUAUUGCACAAUGGGCGGAAGCCUGAUGCAGCGACGCCGCGUGGGGGGUGACGGCCUUCGAGUUGUAAACUCCUUUCACCAUCGACGCGGUAGAUGGAGAAGAAGCACCGGCUGACUACGUGCCAGCAGCCGCGGUAAUUC